UAUUUAGGUUUUUUACAACUCUUUUAAAACUAUUUCAAAGGUAGUCUCUUUCAAAAGCCCCCGUACCUACUUUAUCAAUAAUUUGAUGUCCUAAUUUUUUAAAGGUCAUACAGCACAAGAUAUAGUCUCUUUGAUUUUUUAUUUUAUAAAAGGUACUGCAUUUUUAAUGCCCAUCCAGAACUUUCAAAGCCAAAUUAUUAAAAAAUUCUCUACAAUUACAGACACCUCAUGUCUGCAAUUUCCCUACCAAUAUGUCGUAAUUUAUUCAUUUAACUGAGAAGUUUGUUAAUAUUUUACAUACUCCCUCUAUCUUUCAUAAUUUUCUUUAUCUUCAAUGUUAGUGAAUUUAUUUAUUUAUUUUUUUUUUUUUUUUAUUUUUUUUAUGAUUUUGCCAAUGAGAUGUUUGCACUCAUUUUCGGCAUUAGAAGGGUAAAACGGUUGGAAAAUUCUUUACAUAAAUCAGAACUUCAAGAGAGAUAAGUGAAAUUAUAAAACGAGAGUAUCUAUCUGCAAUAUUGACCAACCUCAUAGGAGAGAGGAAGUUCUGAGAGCCAAUUAUGAUGCUAGAAAAGAGUGGACUCCUCAUUUCCAAUCUUGGCGGUCACCAGGUGCUUGAGUAAAGGUCUCAACUACAACAACUUCCUCCAGUUGAAUGAGCAUUUUUGAGGGAGUUUGAUUGUGCCGUUUGCGGCAAAUUAAAGAGCACGAAGAGAUCUACAAUUUGAUCGGAGCAAUUCCUUGUUUAGAGCACUUGGAAAUUUCGAGAUCUAGGGCACAAAAUUGGGAGUUUUUGCAUAUCUUGAGGUUAUGGCAAAGGAGUGGCGGACGACAAUCCAUAACCAGUUUAGUAAAGUUGACGGACUUGAACUCUUUUAUGUUCGAUAUGUAUUUUACCUAUUUUUGUUGUAAAUGUAUUAGGGAUCAUUUUGUAUAUAUCACAUGGUUAGAAAUGGUCUUGAGACCAUUCUUUUGUAUUUUGUGGUCUCACCCUAAUUUUAAUAUCCAUGUAAGGCCUUAAGGCCAUAUUCUCGAUGUAUGACACUCUCGUUUAAUUUUAAGGAUAUAUUGGACC